UGUGGACAUUCUGCUAGAAGGAAACCCAAACAGUUUUGACAAGAAGAAAUACAAAAAGGAGACACAGAAAUUAAAUCCUGGUUAAAAGAUCAGCCACAAGGAGGCAAACCAAUUCAACUAAACAGCUGGACAUCGCUGCUGAGGACAACGGAGGAGGUCAAACUUAAACCCUAAAGGAGAAAAACUGGAAAGAAUGGAACAGAGACACAGCUUGUGGUGAUCAUCAGCUGAACUGGUCUCUGGGAUGUUGGUGAGAAGGUAGAGAGAUGACGCUUGGUGGGACUAAUAGAUUUAGACCAGUUAGAGGCAGAGGACAGGACUGAUGUGAGGAUUUGAGUUGUGAGAAGCACCGACUGUUAGAAACAGCUUUCAGAUGUGACUUGGUCUAGUUCUAGAUGUUCCUCUGGUUAGUUAGUUUUCAGGCCUAGUUAGAGGGAAAAUAACCCUCUGCAGAAAUAUUCUCCAUAUCAUCUAGGCCUGUCCUGACUGCAGUGGAUCUCUUCUGUGUUUUUUGAAUCCCAUGUUGGACCGAGCCUCUCCAAGCUUUGGGCCAUCAGAAGAUGCUGAUGAGAUCUGCAGCGACCAAACCAGAGGAGGAUCAUCUUAGCUGCUGACCUUCACAAAGAGUGAGAGCAUGUUCAACACCGUGGACGUCCAAAAGCAGAACUCCUGUGAGGAACCGGGACAUCCAGGAUGGUGAGGUGCUUUCCAGUCCCCACCUGAGGAUGGCACAGAGAAAGACUGGAACAGAAAACACACGGAGGAAAGCAGGUUGAACAGCUAGCAGUGUUCUAGCAGUCGGAUCACAUUGGAACAGAAUCCAUCCACAUAUGUUUGGAGGAGCUGAAGAAGAGGAUGGAGCACAGACCACUAAUGAGGAGAAACAUGGCUCCUCUUUUUGUCUCUCCAACAUUCUGGAGUCUAAAAAACGUUGACGACACCACAGCUAAACCAUCAGUCUGCUACACCCAGUAGUAGAAGAUAAGGUGAUCUGCUCCUUGGACCGGCGCCUCUGUGUCUGUCGAACGUCUGCUGUCCUGUUAAAGACUCGCUCAGCCGCAGUAGAUGGGCGCUGACAUGGAGCUGGGUUCUGCUGGAGGUUCCUUCCUGCUUAAAGCUGGUUUUUCUCUCCACUGUCACUUCAUUGCUCAGGAGGAGGCACUGCAGCAACAUUGACGACUGGAUGUGAUUGGCUGAGCUUCCUUGGAUUGAAGACAUGUCUCUGAAUGCCAUGAUAAACUGAAUUUAUCUUCACCAUAUUGUAAAUAGGAUCUAACCAGAUGUUUGUGUUUAGAUUUGAUUCUGUGUUUGUUUUGACUUCUGUUACAUGUUUCUGUAUUAAAAUUGUCAUGUUAAUUGCCUUUAGAUGACAUUGCUGGGACUUAUUUUCUAUUUUUUAAGUUUUUAUUUUAAAACUGAUUUAUAUUAAAUCCCCUACUGGGUCUGGUUCUGUUGACGUAUGCUUCCUGUUGUUCUAUCUUCAUCUGUUAUUUCUCACUAUAAUAAAGGUUUGAUUGCAGUAAUGUGAACAGGAUCUGUUUGUAUUUUCUGGUAAAGUGUCUUGAAAUAAGUUGUAAAUUAAUUC